rnacentral:rRNA from 1 species
CGAAGGACCCGAGCAUUAUCCGGAUUUAUUGGGUUUAAAGGGUGCGUAGGCGUCCUGGAAAGUUACGGUUGAAAUCUCCUUGCUCAACAAGGAAACUGGCCGUAAAACUAUCAGGAUUGAGUACAUUUGAAGCGGGCGGAAUGUGUCAUGUAGCGGUGAAAUGCUUAGAUAUGACACAGAACACCAAUUGCGAAGGCAGCUCGCUAAACUGUAACUGACGCUGAGGCACGAGAGCGUGGGGAUCAAACAGGAUUAGAUACCCUGGUAGUCCACGCCCUAAACGAUGAUUACUCGAUGUGUGCGAUACACUGUACGCGUCUGAGCGAAAGCAUUAAGUAAUCCACCUGGGGAGUACGAUCGCAAGAUUG